GGUAGAUUGGGGUCAAAGUCCACCUUGUUGUACUGGGGAAGUAUUCAAUACUCUUACAACAGUGGGAUAGAAGCUGUCUUGUCAGAAUCAGCAUCAGGGUGAAGAUCACCGGCAUAUGUUGUGAAAUUUGUAAACUUUGUGGCAGCAGUACAAUGAAAUACAUGAUUUAAAAAAAACUGAAUUACAUAGUUCAAUGACAGAAGGUUGAUGGAAUUGCUGAGGAAAUGUCUCUUUCUGCUAUUUCUCUGGAAGUUCCAAACGCCUUCAGCUAAAAUAUGGCAGAAGACAAGGGCAACCCUGUGGAAAAGUGUUCCUUGGAAACUAUCUGGUAACUUUGUGCUAAAACAGAAUUGACACUGAGGAAUUCAAGCUGACAAGUUACAUCAUAUUUUGGCAAAGAAGAAGAGGCUUCAUGACAAGAAGAUGAAAAUAAUAUAAACUCUGUUAUGAGAAGAGAUAUCUUUGUUUUUGAGAAAGCAUCUUCCUUGCAAUGGAGCCACUUUCGUAUUCUGUCUCAGUCAGAUUUUUCACCAUGUUGCAGAGGCCUGGCAAUGGAGAAGAAAGAUAUUUGAAGCUCUGUCAAUGUUGUCAGAGAUUAGAGGAAAUGCAUUUACAGGAAAAAUAAAAAUGGAAUCUUAGAAAAAAUCAUGCAUAAACAAAGGCUGACAAACAACCGAUGAGUGACGAGCAAGAGAAGACAAACUGUGCAAAUAAUAAAAUGAAUCCUGAGAACAUUAGUCCUCACGGAGUCCUUAAAAGUGAGUCAUCGAUCAGUUCGGAGUUAUGGUCAUUAAUGUUACCCACACAGAUUCAGGAGCCUGUGGAUUGCAGCAAGGGUAAUAACUGUUCCUGAACAAGAUGGUGUGGG